GAGAGAGAGCUGUCGGUAGGGGGAGUUGAGCUUGCGAGUCAGUGACAUAGACAAGGCUAAGCAAAAACAUGGCUACCACCACCGACUUUUCAUUGGGAUCUGCGAACUCUAACAUGAUUCUAUUAGAAUAUGUCAUCGGCCGCUGUGGUUUAUGUAGACCACACUUUAACAUACGCAAUGAAAAUACGCAACUUAUAGUCAAGAUUUGGUCUCCAUGAUGACCUGCUCCUAUCAUCUGCAGAACAGGGCCUACAGCAGCACUGCUGAAGUACCCUGAAGGGCCCUGACAAUUUCCAAAAGAAGCCAAGACGUCAGGAACACAGACACAUGUUCAGCCUACACACAAUGCACUAUAUACCUCCGUCUGACUGCAUCAGGAAGUUUCAGCAUAGAAGUGAAUGCAAUCAAAGCAAAAUCCCAUAGAUCCCAAUUUUACAACAUAAAUAUACCAAUCUCAAUCUGGUGCAAAGUAUUUAACAGCAUAAUACAGCUUAUUGCGUUAUAUGGAAGUGAAGUCUGGGGUCAACUCAAUAUGCACAAAUACACUACAUAGGACAAGCAUCCAACAGAUUGAUCUAUUACCCAUUGCAUCAAGUCUACUUCAAAAAAUACACUCCAUUUUGAGGCACUGAAAAAACAGGAACUGAACCCAGAAAAGACUCUUUUGUGUCAGCUGGUGCUGACACUCACUAACUCCUGAAACCUGAAAAAGAUACAAGCUACAUGUAGCACUGCUUCCAUACCAGCAAUGUGUCUCCAACAAAAUCAUCAAACAAAUAAAAGAAGACUAUUUGGAACAUUGGAGAAGCUAAACUACUAGCCAAAGCAGAAUACAUUUCUAUCUGACCCUAUAUAUAGGAGUAUAAAUUGGCAGCGUAUCUCCUCUCUGUCAGAGAUAUGAACCAGAGGCAAAUCUUGACAGAGUACAGGCACAGUGACCACAACCUUGAAGUGGAAACAGGUAGACACUAUAAAACCUGGCUGCCAAAAGAGGAAAGAAGAUGUGGUCACUGCCAGACAGGGAAGGUUGAAGAGCACUCUCUAUGAACAAUAUAAAAAAAUAAGAUAAACCUUUUUCUUUAGUUUAUUAAGUAUCACCCAAACACCCAAAAGCCCAUGACAUUUUUGGCAGUGAAAUUAACUUCAUAAACUGAUGGACUCCAAUAUAAUCUAAAUAUGUGUUUGAUAUUACUAUAGACAAUAUACGUUUAUAUAAAUAUGUAUCUGCUGACAGAGACAGCAUUGUAUUGUUCUGUGAACUGUAGUUUUCUUUUGUUUGUGUUUGUUCUAUAGCCAUAUGAUGUGAUAGUGAUAUAUUAUGUGAUACAUGUUAAUUGUUUUAUCAUUCUAUAGUGAUAUAUGAUGUGAUACAUGCUAAUUGUAUUGUUCUAUAGUGAUAUAUGUAAGGGAUAAUGUAUAGAACGCCGGUCAUUAU